CCCCUCUCAGGGUUGCACCUGAAGAGUUUCUGGCGCUCUACCAGUCUCAACUAUUGGAGGGAAAGUCAAGCAGAGGCCUGUCCAUUCCAUUCCUAGCUUGGCCAGUGGCUAGCGACUGGAAGGCAAUCUGCUACAUGU